rnacentral:rRNA from 1 species
AAUGAACGCUGGCGGCGUGCCUAAUACAUGCAAGUCGAACGAAGUGGCGCACGGGUGGGUAAUAUAUAGGUAAUCUGCCCUACACAGAGGAACAACAGAUGGAAGCGACUGCUAAUACCUCAUAGUGUAGGAUGAGACUAUAUCGUAUCAGCUAGUUGGUAAGGUAAUGGCUUACCAAGGCUAUGACGCGUAACUGGUCAGAGAGGAUGAUCAGUCACAUUGGAACUGAGACACGGUCCAAACUCCUACGGGAGGCAGUAGUGAGGAAUAGUGCACAACGGGGGAAUCCCUGACGGAGCACCGCUGCGAGGAGGAUGACACUCUUCAGAACGUAUACUCGUUUUAUCAGGAAAGCGGUACCUGAUUAAUAAGCACCGGCUAACUCCGUGCCAGCCGCCGCGGUAAUUC